rnacentral:rRNA from 1 species
UACAGAGGGGGCAAGCGUUGUCCGGAAUCACUGGGCGUAAAGCGCGCGCAGGCGGUCAUCUACGUCUGGGGUGAAAGCCCGGAGCUCAACUCCGGGAUUGCCUUGGAUACGGGAUGACUUGAGGAUCGGAGAGGCAAGGGGAAUUCCACGUGUAGCGGUGAAAUGCGUAGAGAUGUGGAGGAACACCUGUGGCGAAGGCGCCUUGCUGGCCGAUUUCUGACGCUGAGGCGCGAAAGCGUGGGGAGCAAACAGG